rnacentral:rRNA from 1 species
AGAGUUUGAUCAUGGCUCAGAGCGAACGCUGGCGGCGUACUUAACACAUGCAAGUCGAACGAGGAUCUUCAGUGUAGCAAUACAUUGUUGGUCCUAGUGGCGCACGGGUGAGUAACACGUGGGUGACCUGCCCUUGAGCUCGGGAUACCCCCUCGAAAGGGGGGCUAAUACCGGAUACGUUCCUCGGUCGAAAGACUGAGGAGGAAAGGUGGCGCAAGCUGCCGCUCUUGGAGGGGCUCGCGGCCUAUCAGCUAGUUGGCGGGGUAACGGCCCACCAAGGCUAUGACGGGUAGCUGGUCUGAGAGGACGACCAGCCACACGGGGACUGAGACACGGCCCCGACUCCUACGGGAGGCAGCAGUGGGGAAUUUUCCGCAAUGGGCGAAAGCCUGACGGAGUGACGCCGCGUGUGGGACGAAGGCCUUCGGGUCGUAAACCACUGUCAGUGGGAAAGAUGGGUGUCGGUGUUAAUACCAUCGGCAUCUGACGGUACCU